rnacentral:rRNA from 1 species
CUGCCAGUAGUCAUAUGCUUGUCUCAAAGAUUAAGCCAUGCAUGUGCAAGUAUGAACGAUUUCGGACUGUGAAACUGCGAAUGGCUCAUUAAAUCA